rnacentral:tRNA from 1 species
AGUUAAUGAGCUUGAUAUAAGUAUAUGUUUUGAAAGCAUAAUAAAGAAGUAAAAUCUUCUAUUAACUU